GACGAACGCUGGCGGCGUGCUUAACACAUGCAAGUCGAACGGAAAGGCCCCGUUGGGGGUACUCGAGUGGCGAACGGGUGAGUAACACGUGAGUAACCUGCCCUUGACUUCGGGAUAACUUCAGGAAACUGGGGCGAAUACCGGAUAGGAAUCCUUUCUUCAUGGUGGGGGUUGGAAAGCUUCGGUGGUUUUGGAUGGACUCGCGGCUUAUCCGCUUGUUUGUGGGGUAGUGGCUUACCAAGGCUUUGACGGGUAGCCGGCCCGAGGGGGCGACCGGCCACAUUGGGACUGAGAUACGGCCCAGACUCCUACGGGGGGCAGCCGUGGGGAAUAUUGCACAAUGGGCGGGAGCCUGGUGCAGCAACGCCGCGUGCGGGAUGACGGCCUUCGGGUUGUAAACCGCUUUCAGCAGGGGCGAAGCUUGUGGUGACGGUACCUGCAGAAGAAGCACCGGCUAACUACGUG
rnacentral:rRNA from 1 species